rnacentral:tRNA from 1 species
GGGGAUUUAGCUCAAUGGUAGAGCGCUUGCCUAGCAAGCGCAAGGCCCUGGGUUCGGUCCCCAGCUCCCG